CUAAAGGUGACCUUCACACCAGCCCUGAGACCCUGUGGCAACACCGCAGACAGAAGCCUGGUCACCGGUGACCCUGUCCGGGACAUUUCCAGCCUGAACGGCCUUCUUAAUGGAACCUUCUAGACUCCCCACCUUCGGAGAGAGAACAGCGGAGGAGCCGAGCUUGGAUCUUCAGUUCUCGGUCUACACUGCGCCCUGAGUGAAGCGAACACGUGGGGGACGGAGCCACCAGCAGGAGGCUCCCGGGUCCCCUAGGCCUCUCGGGGGGCCGGGGGCUGCAGAAACAGGACAGCCGCAGGGUCCCCGGAACCCUGGGAGCACAGAG